rnacentral:rRNA from 1 species
UUUCUACAGGCUUAACACAUGCAAGUCGAGGGGCAGCAUGGUCUUAGCUUGCUAAGGCCGAUGGCGACCGGCGCACGGGUGAGUAACACGUAUCCAACCUGCCGUCUACUCUUGGACAGCCUUCUGAAAGGAAGAUUAAUACAAGAUGGCAUCAUGAGUCCGCAUGUUCACAUGAUUAAAGGUAUUCCGGUAGACGAUGGGGAUGCGUUCCAUUAGAUAGUAGGCGGGGUAACGGCCCACCUAGUCUUCGAUGGAUAGGGGUUCUGAGAGGAAGGUCCCCCACAUUGGAACUGAGACACGGUCCAAACUCCUACGGGAGGCAGCAGUGAGGAAUAUUGGUCAAUGGGCGAGAGCCUGAACCAGCCAAGUAGCGUGAAGGAUGACUGCCCUAUGGGUUGUAAACUUCUUUUAUAAAGGAAUAAAGUCGGGUAUGGAUACCCGUUUGCAUGUACUUUAUGAAUAAGGAUCGGCUAACUCCGUGCCAGCAGCCGCGGUAAUACGGAGGAUCCGAGCGUUAUCCGGAUUUAUUGGGUUUAAAGGGAGCGUAGAUGGAUGUUUAAGUCAGUUGUGAGAGUUUGCGGCUCAACCGUAAAAUUGCAGUUGAUACUGGAUAUCUUGAGUGCAGUUGAGGCAGGCGGAAUUCGUGGUGUAGCGGUGAAAUGCUUAGAUAUCACGAAGAACUCCGAUUGCGGAGGCAGCCUGCUAAGCUGCAACUGACAUUGAGGCUCGAAAGUGUGGGUAUCAAACAGGAUUAGAUACCCUGGUAGUCCACACGGUAAACGAUGAAUACUCGCUGUUUGCGAUAUACUGCAAGCGGCCAAGCGAAAGCGUUAAGUAUUCCACCUGGGGAGUACGCCGGCAACGGUGAAACUCAAAGGAAUUGACGGGGGCCCGCACAAGCGGAGGAACAUGUGGUUUAAUUCGAUGAUACGCGAGGAACCUUACCCGGGCUUAAAUUGCAGAUGAAUUACGGUGAAAGCCGUAAGCCGCAAGGCAUCUGUGAAGGUGCUGCAUGGUCGUCGUCAGCUCGUGCCGUGAGGUGUCGGCUUAAGUGCCAUAACGAGCGCAACCCUUGUUGUCAGUUACUAACAGGUUCCGCUGAGGACUCUGACAAGACUGCCAUCGUAAGAUGUGAGGAAGGUGGGGAUGACGUCAAAUCAGCACGGCCCUUACGUCCGGGGCUACACACGUGUUACAAUGGGGGGUACAGAGGGCCGCUACCACGCGAGUGGAUGCCAAUCCCCAAAACCUCUCUCAGUUCGGACUGGAGUCUGCAACCCGACUCCACGAAGCUGGAUUCGCUAGUAAUCGCGCAUCAGCCACGGCGCGGUGAAUACGUUCCCGGGCCUUGUACACACCGCCCGUCAAGCCAUGGGAGCCGGGGGUACCUGAAGUGCGUAACCGCGAGGAGCGCCCUAGGGUAAAACUGGUGACUGGG